AGGAAGAAAACAUAACGAUUGGGGGACCAUAGAAACACCCAUACCUUUAAUUUGCAUUUUGCUAUAUAAUAUAAAGAAAUCAUGUUCACAUGGUGGCAUGUGAUGGGCAUGGGAUGUUUUUCUAUCAUUCUUUUCCUUUUUUAAUUUUCAUUUAUUUGUUGCAUUUUUUGUUUAUUUAAUUAAUUUUUUGACCCAUCUGUUGUAGGCCUGUAGCUAAGCUACCCCACUGCGCACUCACAAGAAAAGCAGGCAUUAUGUGGGUAAAAUGCGCCAUGUGUGAGUGAAGUGAACCCUACUCACCCCCCUCCCCUCUCUAUAAAGCUGGUAAGACAUAGAUUAUACAUGCUAGUGUGGUCCAUGAUCAUUUGUUUGGGCAUGGUUCAUCUCAACUCCUCCAUUGCUCUCUCUCUCUCUCUCUCUCUCUCUCUAAAUGUCAUUCUUGUACAGUAUAUAUCAACAACCAAAUCCACUCAUCUAAGCUACAUAGUGGAAUUAAGAUAAGAAGAUGAGUUUGUGUGAGAUCUGAAGUGAAAAUUUAAAAGAAUUUUGCAAAUCCUGUCAUGUUCUUCCACAGCUUUCUUGAACUUCUUCUACCAAUUUGAUCACUCUGGCUAGAGAGAGAUCAACCAUGGAAGUUCAAGAAAGCUGUGGGAAAACAUGGCAAUUCAGGAUUUUUUCUGAUCAGAUGGUGCAGCUGACCAUGUGCUUUAUCUGCUGCACGCAAGCCAGAUCAAUAAUUUAGAAAUUCGCUGCAAUGCUCGGCAAAUAUUGAUCAAUUGGGAUUUCCCCAGUUGAGCACACAAUGAGUGAGCUAACCAUAUGUAGCUGAAAAAACUCAGAAUUGAGCUGCCCACAGGCACACCUUAAUUGUUCUUGUACUUUUCUGUUGUUUUCUAAGUUCUCUUUCAAUCAUCUUUGAAAUGUAAGUAAGAAAAAAAAAUAAUAAUAAAUAAAUAAAUAACUCAUUAGCUGAAUGAAUUAGCAUGUCAUCACCAUAUUUGGCUCCCCUGAUCAGUUUUAAUCAUCAUAGUUCACAAUCUGCGCGCAUUAAGAAUUCCCAAAAUUAAAGCACAGAAGGAAAUGGGAGGUGAAGUGUUUGAUAUGUUUUGCCAAAUGAAUGCAACAAUUUUGAAUGGUAGGUCCACAAAAAUGAGUCUAAAUAGGGCAGACAAUGAAGCAUGGUAGUUCUGUUUACCAUGAUGCAAAUGCUUAAAAUAAGCCCCUAUUAUUAUUUCUUUCAGGGUUUUAGGCUCUCUAACUUCUCUCUAUGACUAUCUAAGUGAACACAUAAUUUUAAGUAGUAGCUACCUCUUAAACUAGAAGUCUAGAGCACUUGAUUGGUUGGGAUUUUGAAAUAUCAGCCGAGCGCUACCCAACACUUGUUGUGCAUUUCCAGUUAGAUGUCAUGCAUGUUAUUCUCUGCUUCUAUGGUUGGUGACUGGCAUAUUAGAUAAUAAUGAAGAGUGUGUCAAGACUGCAAUGGAACUGAACAAAUUACGGCUUUCAUGUGGUAUGAAAUAAUUAUUGUGCUAGUAGGGUGAAUUGCAUAAAUUAUGUCAGCUACUGUAUUUAAUUCUCUCUUUUUUUUUUCUUUUUCUUUUUUUUUUCUUUUUUUAUUUAAUUUCCCCUCCAGUGGACAAUUU